rnacentral:tRNA from 1 species
AAGGGCUUAGCUUAAUAAAAGUAAUUGAUUUGCGUUCAGUUGAUGCAAAGUGUAGAUUUGCAGUCCUUA